AAUUCGUUGGCUCGAGAAAAAUUGUAUUGAGAAAACUCGACGUAAUAAUUCGUCGAUUACAUUAUUCUGUUCUUUUUUGAAUAUCGAGUAUCUUACCGCAUUUGUAAAGUUUGUGGCAAAUUGGAAGAACAUGUAAAUCGAUGGGAGCGCUUUCGAUCAAGAAUAACUCAAAUCAAUUUUGCAUUUAAGGAUAAUCGCGCUAUAUCGUGCCGUUCCAUUGAUUAUUUCCUAUUUCAAUCUCAACUAGACUCCUAAGACCAAUGGCUCAUUGGGAGUGAAAACAAAAAACCCGAGACACUCGAUCGCAACCUAGGUCUCUAGAAGUCGUCUACCGGAAUCUCCGGGAUUUCGAAAUAUCCUGAUAUUCUGCCCGAUGUCUCCGCGGAAGAGAUUGGUUCAGAGACGGUACGCAGAAGCCAAUGUGAUUGUACGUGGAUACGAAGGGGAUUGCGGCAGGUCACGUCGCGCUUCACUUAAAACAAGUAAAGGCCGUGGCAAAACCGUAGGACGGAACCAGUGAGUAAAUGGAUAAACCUAAGCCGAAGGAUCUCUGUCCUUCUCCAUGAUGCGUCUGGCCUAUACGUGCUCAACGUUCAGGACAUAUCUGCGACGAAAAAUGGUCCCUGUGUUUCACAGAAUAUUCUCUAUUAGAGCUGUGAUACGAGUACAAAAACUUUUAACAUAGCGAUUCGCUGUAGGUAAAAAAAUUUAUAACUUAUUCGCGUCUGCUCCUUAUCUCAAGGAAUAUCUUUCCUCUGAAUAAUAAUGAAGAUAUGUUAAUUAAUUAAUACAUUCAGGCUGCGUUCCGAUAUACACUAGUACUGAAAAUCUAUAGC